rnacentral:lncRNA from 1 species
GAGACACGGUCUCCCUAUGUUGCCUAGGCUAGUGUCUUAUUUCUGGGCUCAAGCGAUCCUCCCGCCUCAGCCUCCCAGAGAGUUGGUAUUAUAGGCAUGAGCCACUGUGCUGGCUUGCACCUAGAUUCUUAAAGAGAACAUUACUAGAACAUUACCGGAAGCCCCUUGUGCACUGUCCCCUGUGGGCCACUUCUCCCACCCCAUUCCUGUCUUUUAAUACUAGAGAUCAGUUGUGCUUGUUUUUGAAAUUUAUGUGAGUGGAGUAUACUAUGUAUACAGUACACAGUAAAUACUGUAUGUACCACUGCCUAUAUACAGUAUACUCCACAGUGAGUGAAACAAGCCAGACUCAGAAGCAUACAUACUGUAUGUACCACUUUGCUUAGUAGCCACAGUGUAUGCACCAUGGUACAUGCAUAUACUUCUGAAUCUGGCUUGUUUCACUCAUGGUUAGGUGUGCAGGAUUCAUCCAUGUUGUUGUGUGCAGUUCUUGCUUAUUUUACCAGUCUGUCUUAUCCUGAGAAUAUCUUUGACAUUCAACUCUGCAUGCAGACCCUUCCUUACACGUUCUAGAGAGAGGACCUGUCUUCACCCUGUGUUUAUUACCCACAUACUUGAACAGCUGUUUCCUCCAGGCAUCAUUAUGCAAAAGGAAUGAAACCCGGUGUGUGCAGCUUUUUUAGAGGACGUAAAAGGAGUCAGCUCUUGCCUCUCAUCAAUAGUAUUGUUUAUCAGUCAUUUCUCUUUUGAGGCAUUGGUUGAAUAAAUGGGAAAAUUCCUGCUUUCAAGGAACUUAGCAGACUUGUUGACAGAUAAGACCAUAAGAAGAAAGCCAGUGAAGUACCCAGUGAUGUGAACGCCAUGGUAUGAGCAAGUACAUAAUAGAGACCACAAGUGCUUUUUAGAAGUUAGAGAUAGUCAUUCUCUGGGGCUUCCUCAGGAAAAUCCUCGCUGAAUCUGGGAUCUAAACUGGGCCUUAUGAUUCUUGGAUAUAAGUUCCCUACUCCCCGCCCCACACCCCCUCUAAAAAAAAAGUACUAGAAGUUACACACAGAACUGUAGCCUUGGAGGCUGUAGGCAGUGCAUUUAAAGUACUUCUGGAGUGGUUUUGAGCUUCAGAGCAUUGACACACUUCCCUAAAUAACUGUGACAAUUCUUUCUAUUUGCUGUUGCCCAUCGGUGAUUUCAGUGGCCAGUAGUCAUACUGGAAAGUCUGAUAAUAAAGCAGGGGAUCAGUCAUGUGGUACCAAACCAGUUGUGGGGAAUGUUAGAUGUGUUAAGAUGUGAUUAGCAACGACAUUCCUGUUUGUAAACUGGCAUCUAUGGCGGUUUAAAAAUGGUGGCAAAACCAUUUUGAGUAUUGUUGGAAAUGUUAUCUGUUCUGCCGUGUUAAUAUACCUAUAAGUUGGUAGUUGCAUCUUGUACCCUUGAUAGUCAUACUUUGUACAUUGUGUAUGCCACUCUUCUGUUGAGUAAUUUGGAUUAAUUACUUUGGAGAUUGAAGUCUUGACUCAUUCACUUCACUCAUUUAUUUAGCUGUAUUUUCAGUUCCAUGCAAUGAGUGACACAGACUGUGCUGCCAAAAAGGAAUUCUCAGUAAGGGCAAUGCACAUAAAUUACUGUGUUACUCAGAAAUCAUGAAUAGUUGAGAUCACAAGGAAAUCUACUUAAAUUGUCCUGUGGUUGGGAAAAGAAACUAGUGGAAGGAAUAUGUUAAAAAAGCAUCUUUCUUAAAAUGUAUUCAAAAUAUUUUUCUCUACAAUUUAAGAGCAUUAGCAAAUACAACCUAGGAUGAAACUUUAACAGCCUUUGAGAGGGACAAGAAAUGAAAUUAAGGGUGAUAUAUGAUGCCAGUAUCAUCGGUGUAUUGGGUCUCAUAAUACAUACAAUACAUGGUAGUUAGUCAUAGGGAGAAAACAAACCUGGUGGCUGCUUUCUAAGAACAAAUCAGAUUUCUUGUGUAGCUAUGUGGUUUAACUGUUCUUGCCCUUCUUUUACAAAACUAAACAGAGUGCUGGUUCUCAAACUUUAGCAUGUUAUCAGAAUCACUUGGAAGAAGACUUCUUCAACACAUUGCUGAGUCCCAUUCCCAGAGGUUCAGAAAAUUAGAUGUUGACAUUUUCAAAGUGAACUUAAGAGAAGAUAAUUUCAAGAAUUAACAUUCUUGAAAUGACAAAAUUACAGAGAUAAGAGAACACAUUAGUGGUUGCCAGGAGUUAGGACUAGUGGCAGGAGGGAGGGAGAUGGAUGUAACUGUAAAAGGGUAGCAAGAGGAAGAUCUUUGUGGUGAUGAAAUUUUGUUUUCACUGUAUGCGUUGCUGGCUUUAUUUCCAGUUUCUUCUCUAGUUAAAAUAUGGAGGAAGUCACAGGACAUCCAGUUUGUUCUUGGGUACUAUGGGACAAAAUAUAUGACAGUAAACUAUCAGCUCAUCUUGGCAAGUACUUUUGGUGUGGACCACUGAAGCAUAUUUGUAGGAAGGGAGUUACAUUUUGGUGCUCAGGAUGGGAGUGAUGAUAGUUUCAAAGAUUUCUAUUUUGGAAGAGG